GUCUACUACGUUUGUUGACACUCGACGGUCCACCGUGUUAGCAAUUUUAUUUCACAUGUUUUCGAAAUAUUGAAGAUCAUUUUUCGCAAUGUUUCCUGAAAAUUGAUAAAUAUCAAAGCAACGUAGAGCUGUUUGUUCUUGUUCGUAUAAUAAAAUUGAGAAUGGAAAUGGGGAAUUUGUCAAAGAGACAACAACCCCGACCAUAGAAAAACAUACAACAGCAGAAUUAAGGUCACCAACAGGUCUUCAAUGCAGCGAAAAAAUUCCCGCACCCGGAGGCGUCCUUCAGCUGGCC
rnacentral:lncRNA from 1 species